rnacentral:rRNA from 1 species
UACGAAGGGUGCAAACGUUACUCGGAAUUACUGGGCGUAAAGCGUGCGUAGGUGGUUUGUUAAGUCUGAUGUGAAAGCCCUGGGCUCAACCUGGGAAUUGCAUUGGAUACUGGCAGGCUAGAGUGCGGUAGAGGAUGGCGGAAUUCCCGGUGUAGCAGUGAAAUGCGUAGAGAUCGGGAGGAACAUCUGUGGCGAAGGCGGCCAUCUGGACCAGCACUGACACUGAGGCACGAAAGCGUGGGGAGCAAACAGG